rnacentral:lncRNA from 1 species
GGCGGGUUCCAAAUCUAUGGCAGAUUCCUAAUCUAUGGCAAAUGUGACGUUACAAACGCCAAACAACUCAAAUCUAUGGCAGAUUUUUGUUACUCCAAAUCUAUGGCAGAUCUUGGGGAGAGGGUACCGUAUAACGUCACAAUUGAAAAUACCGCCAUAUUACAUCUUCGCCGCCGCUAACGAUGGCGGGACCCAUAGAUUUGAACACCAUUCAAGAUGAAG